rnacentral:rRNA from 1 species
GAUGAACGCUAGCGGCAGGCUUAACACAUGCAAGUCGAGGGGUAGAAGGAGCUUGCUCCUUUGAGACCGGCGCACGGGUGCGUAACGCGUAUGCAAUCUACCUUUUGCAGAGGAUAGCCCAGAGAAUUUGGAUUAAUACCUCAUAGUAUAGUACUUUGGCAUCAAGGAACUAUUAAAGUCACAACGGACAAAAGAUGAGCAUGCGUCCCAUUAGCUAGUUGGUAAGGUAACGGCUUACCAAGGCUACGAUGGGUAGGGGUCCUGAGAGGGAGACUCCCCCACACUGGUACUGAGACACGGACCAGACUCCUACGGGAGGCAGCAGUGAGGAAUAUUGGACAAUGGGCGCAAGCCUGAUCCAGCCAUGCCGCGUGCAGGAUGACGGUCCUAUGGAUUGUAAACUGCUUUUAUACAGGAAGAAACACUACUUCGUGAAGUAGCUUGACGGUACUGUAAGAAUAAGGAUCGGCUAACUCCGUGCCAG